rnacentral:rRNA from 1 species
GACGAACGCUGGCGGCGUGCUUAACACAUGCAAGUCGAGCGGUAAGCCCUUCGGGGUACGACGAGCGGCGAACGGGUGAGUAACACGUGGGUGACCUGCCCUCAGCUCUGGGAUAAGCCUGGGAAACCGGGUCUAAUACUGGAUAUGACUCCAUGACGCAUGUUGUGGGGUGGAAAGCCUUGUGCGGCUGAGGAUGGGCCCGCGGCCUAUCAGC